rnacentral:rRNA from 1 species
UACGGAGGGUGCAAGCGUUGUCCGGAAUCACUGGGCGUAAAGGGCGCGUAGGCGGCCUGGUAAGUAGGGGGUGAAAUCCUGCGGCUUAACCGCAGGGCUGCCUUCUAAACUGUCAGGCUUGAGCACAGUAGAGGCAGGUGGAAUUCCCGGUGUAGCGGUGGAAUGCGUAGAGAUCGGGAAGAACAUCAGUGGCGAAGGCGGCCUGCUGGGCUGUUGCUGACGCUGAGGCGCGACAGCGUGGGGAGCAAACAGG